CCAGCCCGGUCAAGUUAAAAAUGGAUCAAAGCCAUUGCAUGAACUCUUGACAUCACCACCACCAUGGGUGGAUUUCCCGUCGAUGGUUGCUUUCCGGAAAUAUGAAGCUCUUGAUCUUAUUUCUGUCCUACGUGCAGAGAAUGAAUCGCGCGAAACUUUACUGGGACAUGAUGCCUUUAUAGAAGGGGCAUGUAGAGCUGUGGCUAUACGUACUUGCAUCGAAGCUCUUGAUCUAAUUUCUGUCCUACGUGCAGAGAAUGAAUCACGCGAAACUUUACUGGGACAUGCUGCCGCAGUAGAAGGCUCAUGUAGAGCUGUGGCUAUACGUACUUGCAUGGAAUUUGAAGGUGAAUACCUGGAUACAUAUAACAAAGUCGCAGGUAAGCCAGUGAUUCCGAUCGGUU
rnacentral:lncRNA from 1 species